rnacentral:tRNA from 1 species
AGUGUCGUAGUAAAGUGUUUUAUGCAUUUGACUUGAAAUUAAAAAGUCAUGGUUCGAUCCCUGACACGG